AGGUAGUCUGAAAGCUCCAUCACUAUGAACUAUCACCCAGGUCUUGCCUCGGCUGAUCUGAGCUGGGCUUUACAUUGGUCUGUGAUUAUCCAAAAAGGCAUCAUCCUGAGCAUAGGGAAAUACAGCACUGAAGAAACACGGUUCUAUGAUUUGCAAUUGAUCACAAGUUAUUAGGGAAGAUAGACAAGAAAACUAACAAGUUUGAAACAGCCACUCCACUGACAGCAAAAGAAGAAACAGAUUUAAUUUGAAUUUUGUAUAAUUCAAGACUGAUGACCCAACAGAAUAUUCAGGGCAUGCCUUCCUUUCAACAUGAAUAUCGUGAGUAAAGAAAUUCAAAUGAAUACAGUAAUUCAUAGUAUGGACUCA